UACAGAGGUCCCAAGCGUUGUUCGGAUUCAUUGGGCGUAAAGGGUGCGUAGGCGGCGCGGUAAGUCGGGUGUGAAAUCUCGGAGCUUAACUCCGAAACUGCAUUCGAUACUGCCGUGCUUGAGGACUGGAGAGGAGACUGGAAUUUACGGUGUAGCGGUGAAAUGCGUAGAUAUCGUAAGGAAGACCAGUGGCGAAGGCGGGUCUCUGGACAGUUCCUGACACUGAGGCACGAAGGCCAGGGGAGCAAACGGGG
rnacentral:rRNA from 1 species